UACGGAGGGUGCAAACGUUGCUCGGAAUCAUUGGGCGUAAAGCGCACGUAGGCGGUCUGUUAAGUCGGGUGUGAAAGCCCUGGGCUCAACCCAGGAAGUGCACUCGAAACUGGCGGACUUGAAUAUGGAAGAGGGUCGCGGAAUUCCCGGUGUAGAGGUGAAAUUCGUAGAUAUCGGGAGGAACACCAGUGGCGAAGGCGGCGACCUGGGCCAAUAUUGACGCUGAGGUGCGAAAGCGUGGGGAGCAAACAGG
rnacentral:rRNA from 1 species